rnacentral:lncRNA from 1 species
CAUGACCUUGCCGUGGUCCUUCCAGAACCACGAAAUGGUUUCUGAAUCAUGUAUGAGUGAAUACCGUUCACGUUAUUUGAAAAUUGGCCAAACAAAAUGACUAGGACUUACAGAAAACAAGCAAUUGAAACUGCAUCCAAAUUGAACAAUAGCAAUAAGAAAUCGAAUCCUCUCAAAUCCCAGAGUGGUCCACUGGACCUGCCAUGAUUCAAUUAUUUCAGCAGCUCCAGAUUUUGCUAUUGGUCAAAACCUAGAGUCUGAAGAUUGUUCUCUUUACUCUUGGUUCAACUUAGUUUUUCAGAUGUUGCUUGCCCCUAAAUAAGGAUUAAUUCACCAUUACUUGUACUCUUUUGACAGCCAAUAAAGAGAUGAAAUCACAGGGUCAGGCAUUCCAUCGAGCAUGUUAUAGGUUGCGCAGCCUCAGGACAACGCCACUGCACGAUGAGGCCAAAGAAUUCACAAAUAGAGGCUCGGAUGCUCAUGGUCAUUCACAAAUUGGAGGCGAAGAAUUGACAGAUAAUGGGUGUAUCCGAUGAUACCGCAGGCAUGAGCAUGAUGGCCGUCGAGCUUCACCAGAUGAGCCACGGGGAGGCGACCAUGGUGAGCAUCUUUUUCGCGAGGCCGGCAGCGGCAUGCCGGCAACUCAACAGUCAAGCACGAGGACCGCGGUGCUCUUCUUCGUGAGGUGGGCGGUGGACGAGUCGAUGCGCACGCACCUCGAGCCGACGUGAGGUCGCCGCGGCUCUGAGCUUGAGCCUGCGUGGACACCCCUAUUCGUCACGAGCGUCGCUUCAGCUGAGCCUCAGCCUGUCAGCCAGCAGCUAUGCGCCUGUGCCACACUGUCAC